rnacentral:rRNA from 1 species
GUGAGUCAUCGAGUCUUUGAACGCACAUUGCACUCCUUUGGAGUAUGCCUGUUUGAGAAUCUAUAGUAUUUAUUUUUGGUUAUUUCGCAAGAGAUAAUCAAGAGAUUUGAGAUGUCUCGUCUUGGCGAGUAUCUUUAAUGUUAUAGCCUCUUUUGUGGUAAAUCAACUCUGCAGAACAGUAUUUGAAUGGAACUUUGGUUUCUUUAAUGCUUAAUAUGUCAGACUUACCUAUUGAAAAGGGGGUCCAUAAACUUAAAGUAGUACUUCGGUGUCUACUUGAACCAUGGUCUCAAAUCAGGUAGGAAGACCCGCUGAACUUAAGCAUAUCAAUAGGCGAGG